rnacentral:rRNA from 1 species
UACAGAGGUCUCAAGCGUUGUUCGGAUUCAUUGGGCGUAAAGGGUGCGUAGGUGGCGGGGUAAGUCGGGUGUGAAAUUUCGGAGCUUAACUCCGAAACUGCAUUCGAUACUGCCGUGCUUGAGGACUGGAGAGGAGACUGGAAUUUACGGUGUAGCAGUGAAAUGCGUAGAUAUCGUAAGGAAGACCAGUGGCGAAGGCGGGUCUCUGGACAGUUCCUGACACUGAGACACGAAGGCCAGGGGAGCAAACGGG